GAUGAACGCUAGCGGCAGGCCUAACACAUGCAAGUCGAGGGGUAGAACACUUCGGUGUUUGAGACCGGCGCACGGGUGCGUAACGCGUAUGUAAUCUACCUUGUACAGGGGAAUAGCCCAGAGAAAUUUGGAUUAAUGCCCCAUAGUAUAUAACCUUCGCAUGUUGGUUAUAUUAAAGUUCCAACGGUACAAGAUGAGCAUGCGUCCCAUUAGUUAGUUGGUAAGGUAAUGGCUUACCAAGACGAUGAUGGGUAGGGGUCCUGAGAGGGAGAUCCCCCACACUGGUACUGAGACACGGACCAGACUCCUACGGGAGGCAGCAGUGAGGAAUAUUGGUCAAUGGUCGCAAGACUGAACCAGCCAUGCCGCGUGCAGGAAGACGGUCCUAUGGAUUGUAAACUGCUUUUAUACAGGAAGAAACCCUCCCACGUGUGGGAGCUUGACGGUACUGUAGGAAUAAGGAUCGGCUAACUCCGUGCCAGCCGCCGCAGUAACAC
rnacentral:rRNA from 1 species